AUUAGUAAAAAAAAAAAAACAUGAGUAAACGUCGUAGAGAAAAGUUACCACAGGUUUUCUCGUAGAGGCGCCGCAUGGUUUGCACCUCCGAGUCCAGAAUGGUCCACUCGACCAUACGGCGCGCCAUCGUAGGGUCGUCAGGACGGGAAUACUCUGGAAUCGUCAAACCGAGCUUCUCCAUCAGCUGUGUCAAGAUGUCAUCAACGUACGUGUGGAUCAACAAGUCUGCUUUGCGAUCCUGAAAAAGUUAUAAAAUAGAGAGAUACCUGCCAAAUUAAGUUCACUUUUAUAGUGCUAAUAAUUUUCAACAAUACAUUAAAUAAUGCAAAAAAGCAUAUGCAACUAAUGGUCUAUCUCUUUCCAUUUACAGUGUGUCUUUCUGUAUUUUUUGUACAAAAAAUAAUAUUACAAAAAUAUUAACCGACCUUUUAUGUCAACAGCAUCUAUCAAUAAAAAUGUUUAAUCAAAUUCAUAAAUUAAAUUUGAAAACUGUGGUCAUUUAAGAUAUUUAAACUCAAAUAUUUUAAAAGAACUAAUUUUACAAAUGAUAAAAAUUACAUUUGUAGAAAAUUUACGAACAAAUCCAACGACAGUUUAAACAUUGGAAUUGAAUGACAAAUAACUGACGUCAUUGCAAGUUUCAGUGUGAAAUGCAUGUCCAAUCUCAAAUUUCUCCACAAUAUCAUAACAGGUUAUAACAAUGGAACAAAUUAUAACACAUUAUUAAAAAUAAAUAAAUGUGAAAUUAUAAAACAUUAA